rnacentral:rRNA from 1 species
AUUCGUCGCAACAGAGUUUGAUCCUGGCUCAGGACGAACGCUGGCGGCGUGCUUAACACAUGCAAGUCGAACGGUGAACCUGGCUUCGGCCAGGGGAUCAGUGGCGAACGGGUGAGUAACACGUGACCAACCUGCCCCUAGCUCUGGGAUAACCCCGGGAAACCGGAGCUAAUACCGGAUACGAGACCGUGCGGCAUCACGCGGUCUGGAAAGUUCUUCGGCUAGGGAUGGGGUCGCGGCCUAUCAGCUUGUUGGUGGGGUAACGGCCUACCAAGGCGACGACGGGUAGCCGGCCUGAGAGGGCGACCGGCCACACUGGGACUGAGACACGGCCCAGACUCCUACGGGAGGCAGCAGUGGGGAAUAUUGCGCAAUGGGCGAAAGCCUGACGCAGCGACGCCGCGUGAGGGACGACGGCCUUCGGGUUGUAAACCUCUUUCAGCAGGGAAGAAGCGAAAGUGACGGUACCUGCAGAAGAAGCACCGGCUAACUACGUGCCAGCAGCCGCGGUAAUACGUAGGGUGCAAGCGUUGUCCGGAAUUAUUGGGCGUAAAGAGCUCGUAGGCGGUCUGUCGCGUCGGAUGUGAAAACCCAGGGCUCAACCCUGGGCCUGCAUUCGAUACGGGCAGACUAGAGUUCGGUAGGGGAGACUGGAAUUCCUGGUGUAGCGGUGAAAUGCGCAGAUAUCAGGAGGAACACCGGUGGCGAAGGCGGGUCUCUGGGCCGAAACUGACGCUGA